rnacentral:lncRNA from 1 species
UGUUUGGAGUGAGACCAUUCCUCCUACCCUUUGAAAUUCAGAUUGUGUUUCAUUCUGCUUGCCAUAUGAGUAUCUCAGGAUUAUUUCCAGAUGUUGGAGUUUUUAAAAGGAUGUUCUAUUCUAUGGAUAGUUACUAGUUGUUGGUGAGUUGGGCCCAAGACUUCUUACUCUAGAAUCUUGCUGAUGGCACUCCCAUAGAAGAAGUCAUUUUAUUUACACAAGCACAUUACAUGAAACCAUUGGUGGAUGAGAUCAAAAUGUGAUCUGAAUGUACCAAGUAAUACAAAAGCUGAUAUGAACCUGAAUUCUUCCCAAAGGAAGAAAACUGCAAAUGCCAGAGCCCCAAUUUAGGUCUAUAUUUUUUUCUAAUUUGUCCACCAACAUUUCUCCAAAAAUGAAGAUGUUCUCAUUUUCUCCACAUCCUUCUCAUUAUCUACUUGCAGCUCUCCAAUGAUUAUUAUUAUACUAACCUGUUCAUGGAAAUGCUUUCAUCUAUUUUUUUCUAAUGGAAGCAUACUCACAUUUUUCCAUUUAUUUUUUUCCACUUUCAUCCAAGACAUAAGUUAUCCACCCUCUCCCACAUUCCAUUUUCAAUAUUUGACCUUAAAUAUCUCCACUUGUCAAGAUGACUGACAGCUAACACUAAGACAUCAGGUGCAAUACUGAAAUUUUUUUCUUAAGAAAAAGAUCUGGAAAAAUCUUACUAUACCUUUGAAUAUUUCUGUGUCUUUGAAUAUUCUUUGCCUUAACUCCCUGCAGGACUAGAAACUCCUAACUCUCCAAAUUUCCAUAUAAAAUGUGCAUUCUCAAGAUUGUGAACAUUAAGCAGAAUAUAUACUUUAUAAUUUGACCUCUGUUAUUUAGGGAAGUGUUCACAUUUUUAAAUAUGUAAAAUCAAGUGGAAAUGUGAA